AGUUGCUAGUAAUCGCGAAUCAGCAUGUCGCGGUGAAUACGUUCCCGGGCCUUGUACACACCGCCCGUCACACCAUGAGAGUUGGUAACACCCGAAGUCCGUGAGGUAACCGUAAGGAACCAGCGGCCGAAGGUGGGAUUGAUGAUUGGGGUGAAGUCGUAACAAGGUAGCCGUAGGAGAACCUGCGGCUGGAUCACCUCCUUUCUAGGGAG
rnacentral:rRNA from 1 species